CUUGACCGAGCCCAGCCACAGCGGUUGCUGCGGGUCGCGGCCCUGGCCGUAGGUGGCCAGCAGCGCCUGGACCUC
rnacentral:antisense_RNA from 16 species